GAUGAACGCUAGCUACAGGCUUAACACAUGCAAGUCGCGGGGCAGCAUGACAUCAGCUUGCUGAUGUUGAUGGCGACCGGCGCACGGGUGAGUAACACGUAUGCAACCUGCCCCUGUCAGGGGGACAACCCGCCGAAAGGCGGGCUAAACCCGCGUACAUGCCACCGGGGCAUCCCGGAGGCAGGAAAGGCUUCGGCCGGACAGGGAUGGGCAUGCGGCGCAUUAGGCAGUAGGCGGGGUAACGGCCCACCUAACCGACGAUGCGUAGGGGUUCUGAGAGGAAGGUCCCCCACACUGGUACUGAGACACGGACCAG
rnacentral:rRNA from 1 species